GGGUGCGCGCGGCGGUGCGAGGCGGGAAGCGGGGGCGGCGCGCGGGGCUGUCGCGCGGGGCGCUGAGGCGCGGCGGGGCCUGGCUGGGGCGGCCGGGCGGGAGCUGAGGAGGGACGGAGAAACGCUGCCCCGGGGGGCGGGGACCGAACCCGCACCAGCUAAUCUGGAGAGAAAAAGGCACCAGAUCCAUGAAGUUCUGACUCAAAAGCGGAGGCAGCUGCAGGGACUGCGAGCAGCUACUUGCCUGGCUCGUGCAGGAUCUUCCUUUCAAAGCACUGGACAGCAGCAGCCACACAGAGCAAGCAACGUGCCAAUGCUUACCAACUGAUGCUGCUUAAAUAAAAGCUCCUAAUCUCUUACAA